UUUAAGGUUUUGCUUAAAAAUUUUAUCAAAUAAGAAAACAACGGCAUGGAGUGAAAACUGGACAAAACAGGAAAGGCCACCAGUUUGAGGACAGUAACGCUGAAUGCCAAAGCCAGAAAACACUCAGCCAUCAGUGUGAUGAUCACACGGCAUCGGAUCUAACUGUCUGUCAGCGACUGUUGCAUCUCCACGGCAACCGGGAACUCCUCAAUGACAAACCGUUAGCUGUCUUUGAAACGCCACGUCAGCUGGGAGUCUACCUACGCUCGGCGACCUUGCUGCCCGUCCUGCGGCUCCGACCACAGAGACAAAGACGUGACUGAACGCUGUAGGGUUGUGGAGAGAGGUGGAGAACCCAGAGGGCAACAAGAACCGUAACGGAGACUCAACAGAGAAACAACCAAACUCUUAACGCAGAGGGGAACCAGAUCAGAUGCAAAAACCCUUCAGGGUUUUCUGCUUUAUCUGAGAUCAGCGCAGAAGAAAUGAAUAUUCACCGAGAGGCUGCAGCCCAAAGGAAGAAACCAAUAACACACCUUUCAGCGACCCAGAUGAGGUCG